AGUGGCGAACGGGUGAGUAACACAUCGGAACGUACCCAGGAUGGGGGACAACCUCGAGAAAUCGAGGCUAAUACCGCAUACGUCCUGAGGGAGAAAGCGGGGGAUUCGCAAGGACCUGCGCUCAUGGAUCGGCCGAUGCCGGAUUAGCUAGUUGGUGGGGUAAUAGCCCACCAAGGCUACGAUCCGUAGCUGGUUUGAGAGAACGACCAGCCACACUGGGACUGAGACACGGCCCAG
rnacentral:rRNA from 1 species